rnacentral:lncRNA from 10 species
CUCGGCAUCUGGGCCUGCGAGGGGAGUGUUGGGUGCUGCGACAGACCUUGGGAUCCUCAGAGGCUGAGGAGGCCUUCUCUAGCCAAGGCCGGUCGAAACCACCUUGUUUGUGAUAGCCACACGAAUAACGGAGCUUUACAAGAUCCCUUAUACCCAAAAUAGAGGUGGCAGCAUUGGCUAGCAUCUCUGCGCCCCUUCGCCCUGCAUUCCGGCCUCUUCCUUUAGCCUCGGCGCGGCUUGCGUUCCGCGUGUACCAAGGGAAGUGGCGGCCGACCUGAGCGCGCUUUGGCGGGUGGAAGUGGUGACUUUGUUGUCCUGUGUGGACGAAUGUGUAAUAUAAAGUGACCCUCAAGGAAUCUGGAGAGGGCUGCUUUACAGUAUUUGAAGAACACAGGGCUGUGGACCCUAUCGGUUCCCAAAUGAAAGCUCCCCGGGGAGCGUGUUUUUGCCAGUAUGGGGAAGUAGGGCGGAGGCAUAGGAAUGACCGCGAGAGUGGCUGCUUUCAUAGCUCCGCUUGCGAAACUCCUGCCCGGCCUUUGACACCGCCACGGCUUUCAGUAAUCUGGAAAAUCCCUAGUUUCCAAAAAUAGUCUUAGGGCGAGGACUUGACAGAGGCUUUAGAAGCUGCCUCAUAAUGCAGGUCCCCCAACCUUGACUUGUUGCUCC